rnacentral:misc_RNA from 1 species
AUCAACGGCAAAGUGCUGAUCAUGCACGGAGGCCUGUUCAGUGAAGACGGUGUCACCCUGGAUGACAUCCGGAAAAUUGAGCGGAAUCGACAACCCCCAGAUUCAGGGCCCAUGUGUGACCUGCUCUGGUCAGAUCCACAGCCACAGAACGGGCGCUCGAUCAGCAAGCGGGGCGUGAGCUGUCAGUUUGGGCCUGACGUCACCAAGGCCUUCUUG